rnacentral:rRNA from 1 species
AUGCUUAGAAAUAAGAAGAGGGAGAGAGCUUGUGCUGCCGGCCUCCUGGGGCUUCCAACCUCCCGCGUUGGCCCACCUAAGGCCAUCCAGCCCCGCAGGCCCAUUGGCACCAAAGCCCACCUAAUCCUAACCCUAGCACGACUCACCUCCUCUCCAUCUCUCCCCUGCCGCCGCCCGGAAGCCCGAUCCCAUCUCCCCUCUCCCCAUCGACCCUUCCCCUCGCACGCGGGAGCCCUUCGUCCUCCUCCUGCGCCGCACCUGCAUUUAGAAAAGGAGCAAGAGCUCCACGCGCCAAGCACUUCUCUCCCUCGACCCCCAUCUCUCCCUCUCGACCAGGCCCCGCCACCAGGAACAACUGCUCCGCCCCCUGCUCCCGGUCAUCCUCGCCGCAAGACUGCUCCGCCGCCCUGUGCGCGAGCCCCGCGCCCUGGUCUUCUUCCCCGCCUCCUUGCCAUGGCCACGUACUCCUCGAGCCAGCAGGUCGAUGCCCUGCCUCGCCGCCGUUCGCCUCCGGCGAGCAGCCGCGCCAUGGCCUUCCUCCUCCCACGCCCUACUUGUCUUGCUCCGGCCAUGGCCAUGGCGCCCGCGCCAAGACGAGCGGGCAGUUGCCCGCGUUCCACGCCCGAGGCCUCCUCCUCGACCUCGCAUCCCUCCUCUGCGCCUCCUGCCCGCCGGCAAGGCCUCGCCCCUACCUCCGGAUGCGCCAAGCUCGUCGCCGUCCUCGCCCUGCGAGCUCACCACCACACCGCUGACUCGCUACAGUUGCUGCUUCGUUGUCCCGUUCCACUGCCUCCCGCGUCCGAUCACCGCCGGUGCCCACGACCAGCGUUGUGCCUCUGUUCGCGGAUGCUGCUGCCAGUGUAUGCACCUUGCUGCUACUUCGUCGGCCGCCUCCCUUCGUUGACCACCAAGAGGCUUGUUGUGUUGCUUCAUUUGGAUGCGUCAAGUUCCUCUACUAGCCGUGCACGCCUCUGGAUUCGUCCAAGUUCUGACUAUGCUUUUGUACAACUACGCCGCGGAGACCAAGACCGGCAAGUCCACACGGGAGCCCAAACGACUACUUCCACGAUGAUGUGA